CAGUGGCUGUGCAGUCAAGGAGAGCUCGGAGCUGGCUCUAUGAGACUGGGACCUUCUCUUGUCACAGCCUUCCCAGCUGGGAGAAGCAGCGCCGGCUCUGCUCCCAGAGCCCUAUCAGCCGAGCCUGUGGCGAAUUAAUCACUUGCGUUUUAAAUGCCAAUACAGCCCUUUCUGCCUUCUUCCCCCAGUGAUGCGGAUGCGGCGAAGGCAGCAAAUCCUCCGGCUGUGCGUGCCCUCCCCGGACUGCUGCUGCCGUGCUCGCGUGUGUGCGUGGCUGGGAGCGCUGCCUAGGUGCAGCCGGGAAUGAGACGGCUGUGGGGCAGGGGACAGCGCAGUUCCAGGGGCGACUGAUACAAGGUGGGGGACCCCCCCUCUUAAGAACACACACCCCUGCGGGGCUCCAAGUUGCUCAAAGACAGGGGUCUUUUGUGCCUGCACUUCAUCUCAGCCAUGCCUGGUAUGGAAGCAGGGAGCAAUCGCCCCUCCAGAACCAGAAGGCGAAGUCGUUCGCAAUGAAUCCAUGGCAGCUUCGAUCGAGCGGUGAGCUGGAGCACCUACUCACAGGCCACUCCUUGAUGUGACUGAAGAGAGGCCUUUCCCAGCACUUGCCGAGGAGAGCAGAGCCCUGGAUUUACCUCCUGCACACCCGGGCAUCCCCAGCACUGGCACUGCGAGAUUCCAGUGACAGAUGGAUCCCUCUCGUGUGCACUUGCUCUUUCCCUCUCUGUAUUUUUGUUUUCGACAUGUUUGAUCGGAAGCUCUGAAGCUUCUCAGGAGUGAAUCUGGGGAAGAAGGAAGAGAAGGAGAAAGAACUGAGGGAGCGUGAGCGACAGAGGAGGCAACCCUGCGUUGUUCUUCCAAAUCGCACCGUGGAGGGGAGAGGGAAGACUA